rfam:Pseudoalteromonas luteoviolacea S4054 contig_8, whole genome shotgun sequence.
AGGGCUGGAAGAGGUGCGUUAUUCAGGUAGCUAGAUUGAGGAGAGCAAACUCCAAUGACAUCGAGUGAGGGGAAUUAACGCCGAGAAGAAGUCACUUUUGCUAAGUGAUUUUUUCGGGCGCUUGGGCUGAAUCCCAACGACUGUCACCAACAUAUUUGGUGGAGAGCUUCUGGUCUU